ACUGCUCAGUAACACGUGGGUAAUCUACCUCUUAGUGUGGAAUAACCCUGGGAAACCGGGGCUAAUACCGCAUAAGCUCGAGAGAGGAAAGCAGCAAUGCGCUGAGAGAGGAGCCCGCGGCCGAUUAGCUAGUUGGUGAGGGUAAGGGCCCACCAAGGCAGAGAUCGGUAGCCGGCCUGAGAGGGCACACGGCCACACUGGCACUGAAACACGGGCCAGACUCCUACGGGAGGCAGCAGUGGGGAAUCUUGCACAAUGGGGGAGACCCUGAUGCAGCGACGCCGCGUGAGCGAUGAAGCCCUUCGGGGUGUAAAGCUCUUUCGGCAGGGAAGAUGAUGACGGUACCUGCAGAAGCAGCUGCGGCUAACUACGUGCCAGCAGCCGCGGUAAUACGUAGGCAGCAAGCGUUGUUCGGAGUUACUGGGCGUAAAGGGUGCGUAGGCGGUUGUUUAAGUUUGGUGUGAAAUCUCCCGGCUCAACUGGGUGGGUGCGCCGAAUACUGAAUGACUAGAGUGCGGGAGAGGAGAGUGGAAUUCCUGGUGUAGCGGUGAAAUGCGUAGAUAUCAGGAGGAACACCGGCGGUGUAGACGGCUCUCUGGACCGCAACUGACGCUGAGGCACGAAAGCGUGGGUAGCAAACAGGAUUAGAUACCCUGGUAGUCCACGCCCUAAACGAUGCAUAUUUGGUGUGGGUCAUUCAGUUGAUCCGUGCCGGAGCUAUCGCGUUAAAUAUGCCGCCUGGGGAGUACAGUCGCAAGGCUGAAACUCAAAGGAAUUGGCGGGGGAGCAC
rnacentral:rRNA from 1 species